CCUACGGGCGGCAGCAGUGGGGAAUAUUGGACAAUGGGCGAAAGCCUGAUCCAGCCAUGCCGCGUGUGUGAAGAAGGCCUUCGGGUUGUAAAGCACUUUCAGUGGGGAAGAAAGCCUUGGGGCUAAUACCCUCGAGGAAGGACAUCACCCACAGAAGAAGCACCGGCUAACUCCGUGCCAGCAGCCGCGGUAAUACGGAGGGUGCGAGCGUUAAUCGGAAUUACUGGGCGUAAAGCGCGCGUAGGCGGUCUGAUAAGCCGGUUGUGAAAGCCCCGGGCUCAACCUGGGAACGGCAUCCGGAACUGUCAGGCUAGAGUGCAGGAGAGGAAGGUAGAAUUCCCGGUGUAGCGGUGAAAUGCGUAGAGAUCGGGAGAAAUACCAGUGGCGAAGGCGACCUUCUGGACUGACACUGACGCUGAGGUGCGAAAGCGUGGGUAGCAAACAGGAUUAGAUACCCGUGUAGUC
rnacentral:rRNA from 1 species